CUCCUACGGGAGGCAGCAGUGGGGAAUUUUCCGCAAUGGGCGAAAGCCUGACGGAGCAACGCCGCGUGAGGGAUGAAGGCCUCUGGGCUGUAAACCUCUUUUCUCAAGGAAGAAGAUAUGACGGUACUUGAGGAAUAAGCCACGGCUAAUUCGCGUGCCAGCAGCCGCGGUAAU
rnacentral:rRNA from 1 species